rnacentral:rRNA from 1 species
UAGAUCGUAUAUCUUACAUGGAUAACUGUGGUAAUUCUAGAGCUAAUACAUGCAUUCAUUCCGUGCCCUCGUGGUGCGGAAGCAGUUAUUUUCUCAAAACCAAUCGGGCCUUCGGGUUCGUUAAUUGGUGACUCUGAAUAACCGAAGCGAAGCGAAUGGUCUCGUACCGUCGCUAGAUCUUUCAAGUGUCUGACUUAUCAGCUUGUUGUUAGGUUAUGUUCCUAACAAGGCAGUAACGGGUAACGGGGUGUCAGGGCCCGACACCGGAGAGGGAGCCUGAGAAACGGCUACCACAUCCAAGGAAGGCAGCAGGCGCGCAAAUUACCCACUCCCGGCACGGGGAGGUAGUGACGAAAAAUAACGAUGCGAGAGCUUUAUGCUUCUCGUAAUCGGAAUGGGUACACUUUAAAUCCUUUAACGAGGAUCUAUUGGAGGGCAAGUCUGGUGCCAGCAGCCGCGGUAAUUCCAGCUCCAAUAGCGUAUAUUAAAGUUGCUGCGGUUAAAAAGCUCGUAGUUGGAUCUGGGUAGUCGAUGAGCGGUGCGCUUUACGGCGUACUGUUCGUUCGGCACCACAUGCCGGCCAUGUCUUGCAUGCUCUUCACUGAGUGUGCUUGGCGACCGGAACGUUUACUUUGAAAAAAUUAGAGUGCUCAAAGCAGGCGUUAAGCCUUGCAUAAUGGUGCAUGGAAUAAUGAAAUAAGACCUUGGUUCUAUUUUGUUGGUUUUCGGAGCUCAAGGUAAUGAUUAAUAGGAACAGACGGGGGCAUUCGUAUUGCGGCGUUAGAGGUGAAAUUCUUGGAUCGUCGCAAGACGCACUACUGCGAAAGCAUUUGC